rnacentral:rRNA from 1 species
UACGUAGGGACCAAGCGUUUGUUCGGAUUUACUGGGCGUAAAGGGCGCGUAGGCGGCUUAACAAGUCACUUGUGAAAUCUCCGGGCUUAACUCGGAACGGCCAAGUGAAACUGUCAAGCUAGAGUGCAGAAGGGGCAAUCGGAAUUCUUGGUGUAGCGGUGAAAUGCGCAGAUAUCAGGAGGAACACCAAUAGCGAAGGCAGCUCGCUGGGACGGUACUGACGCUAAGGCGCGAAAAGCGUGGGGGAGCGAACAGG